rfam:Triticum aestivum genome assembly, contig: Triticum_aestivum_CS42_TGACv1_scaffold_129315_2BL
AUGCUACUCCCUCCGUCCCAAAAUUUUUGUCUUAGAUUUGUCUAAAUAUGGAUGUAUCUCCUUUUUUAGAAAAAUCAAAAACAAGAAUUUUGGGACGGAGGGAGUAUUUA